rnacentral:rRNA from 1 species
AGUGAACGCUGGCGGUAGGCCUAACACAUGCCAGUCGAACGGCAGCACAGUAAGAGCUUGCUCUUACGGGUGGCGAGUGGCGGACGGGUGAGGAAUACAUCGGAAUCUACUUUUUCGUGGGGGAUAACGUAGGGAAACUUACGCUAAUACCGCAUACGACCUACGGGUGAAAGCAGGGGAUCUUCGGACCUUGCGCGAUUGAAUGAGCCGAUGUCGGAUUGGCUAGUUGGCGGGGUAAAGGCCCACCAAGGCGACGAUCCGUAGCUGGUCUGAGAGGAUGAUCAGCCAAACUGGAACUGAGACACGGUCCAGACUCCUACGGGAGGCAGCAGUGGGGAAUAUUGGACAAUGGGCGCAAGCCUGAUCCAGCCAUACCGCGUGGGUGAAGAAGGCCUUCGGGUUGUAAAGCCCUUUUGUUGGGAAAGAAAAGCAGCAGGUUAAUACCCCGCUGUUCUGACGGUACCCAAAGAAUAAGCACCGGCUAACUUCGUG